GACGAACGCUGGCGGCGUGCUUAACACAUGCAAGUCGAACGAAGUGGCGAACGGGUGAGUAACGCGUAAUCAACCUGCCCUUCAGAGGGGGACAACAGUUGGAAACGACUGCUAAUACCGCAUACUGAAGGAGGGGUUUGCGUCUGAUUAGCUAGUUGGGGGGGUAACGGCCCACCAAGGGGAUGAUCAGUAGCCGGGCUGGGAGGAUGGACCGCCAAAUUGGGACUGGGGCACGGCCCAAGCUCCUACGGGAGGCAGCAAGGGGGGAACUUCCGCAAUGGACGAAAGUCUGACGGAGCAACGCCGCGUGAGUGAUGACGGCCUUCGGGUUGGAAAGCUCUGUUAAUCGGGACGCGGUACCGGAAUAGAAAGCCACGGCUAACUACGUGCCAGCAGCCGCGGUAAUUC
rnacentral:rRNA from 1 species